GAGACGCGAACUCCGGCUGUAGCGUGGGGCAGCGGAUCUACACGGUGUGAGGUGUGGGGCUGCAGAAUCCAGGGUGACGGGCCAGAGCUGUCCAGGCAAUACCCCCAGCCUGCAUGGCAAGGCUGAGGGGCAGACACCCAGCACUCAGUUACUGUACUCACAACCGCCACUCCCAGGCAGGAGGCAUCCGGGAGGGCCUCCCGGUGGACGCAACCAGGCCAAGGAAGGGGAAGCCGGCAACAGGAGCAUCGAUAACAGAGCAGAUGGGCCAGGAAAACCCCGUCGUGGGAGGGCUGAGUCCCGGCUGGGGACUUGGCCCCCAUCUGUAGCCUGAGGGGUGCGGUUUUUGCUGUGUGAAUCACGUCACCCCUACAGAAGAGGAACUCUCUACAGUUCACAUGGUUAACAGGGAAAGGGAAUGGACUCAUACCGGGCCCAGGUGUCCCUCCGCGUCUCACCCCGCUCCUCCCUCCCCAGGAGCAGCCACAACCCUCAUUUUUGUGUUCAUCUUUAAGUGCUUUUCUUUGGGUGUGACCUCUUAUAUUUGCACCCCAGAAUGGGACGCUGUUUUGGGUGGCUUGUUCUGGGCAUUACAGAAACGGGGUCACUCAGCCUGUGCUGUUUGCUCUGUCUGCUCUGUGUGGUGAGGGCACAGGGCAGCUGCUCGCAGGCAUCGUCUUCGCAGCCUGUUUUGUUGGGCUCCUGCUCGCCCAUUCUCCUGCCGAUGGACAUGGGAUUGUCGCCUAUCUGGAGCCAUGAUGAGCAAAGCUGUGAUGAGCAUCCUGUGUGUGCCUCUCGGUGGGCACCUUUAGAUCCAGGGACGGUCUGCAGGGUCACGGGGAGGAGAAGAGAAAGAGGACAAAGCCGAAAAAAUAUUGAAGAAGCAAUCUCCUAAACUUGGCAAAAGACAUAAAUGUAAGGAUUUAAGAAGCUGAAUGAACUCCAAACGUUAUAAACCCAAGGAAAUCCACACCAAGACAUAUCACAGUCAGACUUCCAAAAACUAAACAACAACAAACCCCAAUUUUGAAAGCAGCCACGUAACCACCUUCCAAAAAACAUGGAUGUCUCAUCAGAAAGCAUGGAGGCAAGAAAUAAGUGGAACGUUUUUAAGUGCCAUAAGAAAAGAGCUGUCAACCAUAAAUUCUAUACCCAGUGAAACUAUCCCUCAGGAAUGAGGAGGAAUCAAGACCUUCUCAGGUGAAGGGAAAAGUAAGUUUGUUGCCAGCAAACCUACUGUGAAAGGAGGGCCAAAGGAAGUUCUUCUCAUGGAAAGAAAGUGAUAAGGAAGGAAUCUUGAGACAUCAGGAAGAAAGUACAAUGGAAAGAGCAAAACUAUGGGUAAAUACAAUGGACCCCUUCUCUGAAGGUUUCUAAGUUACAUUUGGUGGUUGAAGCAAAAAUUAUAGCAUUGUCGAAUGUCUCAAUGUAUGUAGAAAAAAUAUUUAGGAUAAUUAUAUUAUAAAUGGAAGGGGAAAAGGGACACAAAGAGAGGGAAGCUUUCUACAUGUCACUCGAAAUGGUAAAAUGUUGAUGGCAGUAGACUGUGAUAAGUACAUAUGUAUAAUGCAG
rnacentral:lncRNA from 1 species